UGGGGAAUCUUGCGCAAUGGGCGAAAGCCUGACGCAGCGACGCCGCGUGAGGGAAGAAGGCUUUCGGGUUGUAAACCUCUUUCAGGAGGGACGAAGCUACUCGGGUUAAUAGCCCAGAGGGUGACGGUACCUCCAGAAGAAGCCCCGGCUAACUACGUGCCAGCAGCCGCGGUAAUACGUAGGGGGCAAGCGUUGUCCGGAUUUAUUGGGCGUAAAGAGCGUGUAGGCGGCCUGGUAGGUCAGCUGUGAAAACUCGAGGCUCAACCUCGAGACGCCGGUUGAAACCAUCAGGCUAGAGUCCGGAAGAGGAGAGUGGAAUUCCAGGUGUAGCGGUGAAAUGCGCAGAUAUCUGGAAGAACACCCGUGGCUAAGGCGGCUCUCUAGUACGGUACUGACGCUGAGACGCGAAAGCGUGGGGAGCGAACAG
rnacentral:rRNA from 1 species